AGAGUUUGAUCCUGGCUCAGAUUGAACGCUGGCGGCAUGCCUUACACAUGCAAGUCGAACGGUAACGCGGGGCAACCUGGCGACGAGUGGCGAACGGGUGAGUAAUGCAUCGGAACGUGCCCAGUAGUGGGGGAUAGCCCGGCGAAAGCCGGAUUAAUACCGCAUACGACCUACGGGUGAAAGCGGGGGACCGUAAGGCCUCGCGCUAUUGGAGCGGCCGAUGUCGGAUUAGCUAGUUGGUGGGGUAAAAGCCUACCAAGGCGACGAUCCGUAGCUGGUCUGAGAGGACGACCAGCCACACUGGGACUGAGACACGGCCCAGACUCCUACGGGAGGCAGCAGUGGGGAAUUUUGGACAAUGGGGGCAACCCUGAUCCAGCCAUGCCGCGUGCGGGAAGAAGGCCUUCGGGUUGUAAACCGCUUUUGUCAGGGAAGAAACGCGUCGGGCUAAUACCCCGGCGUAAUGACGGUACCUGAAGAAUAAGCACCGGCUAACUACGUGCCAGCCGCCGCGGUAAUAC
rnacentral:rRNA from 1 species